GCAAAUAACUAUGAAACACACAAGGAUGAAUAUCAUUCUACAAUUCUUUAAAAAAGUUUCUCUUUUGGGUAAAUUUGAGACUUUUCAACCAGAGAAAGUAAUAAAUGCAGUUUUAGUGCAUCAUCAAUUAUUUGAUAAUAAACAUUUUCCAUUGGCAGAUUUAAACUAUAUUGGUCAUCAUACUGGAAACAUAUCUAUUGAGUCAUAUGGUUUAAUAUAAAGGGGAAUUCAGCUCCUGUCAGCAGCUGUCUAUUUUCCGAAUGAGCUUUUACAGGAAAUAUUCUGGUUUUAGCACUUUCAUUGUACAUUUCCAUUUUAAAAAAAGGGAACUUCAGUGUUGCAAAUGUUAAAGACAAACGACACGACUUCACUCUCAACUCAGACCUUGACGCACUAAGUUGAAGCCUUGUACGAUCAUGAUUGUCAAUAACACCUGUAUCCCUGAAAAUGACACCGCCACGUGUUCGGCCCCCGGAAGCUCCCUCACAGGUCUGGCUGUUGGGCUGACAUUUUUAUUCGUACUUCUACUGAUUGUAGCUGGUGUGAUCGUGUACAAAUACCACUGUAAAAUGAGGAGUAUGUUGCAGUUUGAACAAAGGAGAAGCCACAAAAAGCAGGACAAUACAGAGACGCCGCCAGAAGAUUCCCAUCAGUACAUCAGUAUAGAACAGUCAACAGGACAGAACUCUAUUUAUGAAAACCUGGCAACUCGAAAGACUGGAUUCACCAGGCCUGCAGUAAACAAGUUGCCUAGUGAAACUGAAGAGGAUGUGUACUUGCAGUGUGAUUCACCAGAUGAUGCAAUAUACAGCAAUGAUCCGGCGUGUAACCUCUUCAUCCUCUCAGACUUCCAGGAAGAAGACGUAUAUAUAGUGCCAGAUUCAUUGUAGGACACUUCUCUAUUCAUUGCUCAUGCAAUAAAUGUGCAUUUUUUUACAAGACAGAAAGGUGCUGCUGCCGUUUGAGAGAGCUGACAUGUAAACAAAAACAAUACUGUAGUUGCUGUAGCAUAUGGAUAUUAUACAGAUUAUUGUAUCCCUUUAUCUUAUUGUUUAAGUGUAACGUUAGGAAUAACUUGUACGAGCUGUUCUGUAUAUUCUGCUUACUGUGAUCUUUUAUUGCCCUUGUUUUUGGCAGUUAUAUUGGACGCACAGUAAUGCAAAUCACCACAUUUGGACAACAAUCCAAAUUAAUUAUCUUUUGAAUAUGGGUUGAUAUUUUUACGGCUUUCUCUUGAUAUGUCUAGAAUGACCUGUUACCUACUUGUGCUGAAGUCAUGCAUACAUUCUGCCUUUUUUUGUAUCAGCAAUAUUACAUUUGCCCUGAGAAAUAUUUUAGCUGCAUAGACAAUUCAUAUUUAAGUAAGUUAACAGGUAAAUAUAUAAAUAUAUAAAAACUAAUUGGGGUGUAUGCUCUACAUGCAUGCAUGUCUAAGUACGUGUUUUGUGUACAUUUAUGAUAUAUGUAGCAUUCAUUAUGUUUUAUAGAAAAGUGACAGAUCUUCUUUAUGUGGCCAACAUACUUUUCCUAAAAACAUUUUUAAUAUGUAUCAGCCUCAAAAGUUGUAGGAAUCCAGCUGCAUCACUGAUAUAGGUUUCAAUUAUUUCACUAAAUGAAUUGUGUUUGAUCAUUGAAACUUGUUUUGCUGGUAGUUUUGUUAUUACCAGCCACAACACAAAUGAUAUACAUUUAGUAGAUUAACAGAAUAGUUAUGGACUAUUUGCAAGGAUUUUUUUAAUAACACAAGAUUAUGAAGAUGAAAGACAAAUAACAUAAUAUUUAGAACAUUUUACAAGUGCAUUUUAAUUUCAACUAUCAUGUUCAUUGAAAAGGCUUGAACGAAUAACCACCUGUGAAAAACAUGUGAAAGGAGAGAACCAUUAUUGCUCACUCUUAUCAAAAUCCCUUUCAAUGAUAUAAUGUAAAUGAAAACAUGUGCAUUACAAACAUCCACAUUGUUAUAUAUACUAUGUGAGAAACAAUUGCCAUAUGUGGUACUUGCACACAAACAUACUUAACACAUCAUGACUUUUCAAACAUUCACUUCAUGCGUUUUGUGGUCAAGUUUUUGAGAACAGACACGAAGAGAGGAUGUGAAAACUGUUACCAUCUCUUUCCUUAAAAGAUUGAAGGGGGACGAGAGAUGUGUUACGAAAUGAGAGGUCGUGCUUCUCUGGAUGGGUAAUGACCAGAGAAUGACGGGGAGGUAUACAGGCCAUGACAUUUCUUUUACUUUUGUUUUUUAUUUUUGUUCCCUGUCAUUCUGGAAAUAAUUUCCGCAAUAGAUUUCCAGUAAGGCUACGUGAGGAUUAAAAUCAAGAGAAAGCCAAAUAGUGCCUAAUGAGUUUGUGCUGUCACACACAGAAGGUCCUUGAUAAAUACUGUCCCUAAUUCUUUUAUACUUGUAUACUUUGGGUGGUACUGCAACUCAGGACCUUUCAGAAUAUAAGAUUGAGGACUUUUACAUCCACCCACAGUUGUGUAAUAACCAAGGAUGUCAUCCCUGAAACAAAUAGUAACAGGAUUAAAAACAAAGAAGUGAGUGAGCAGUUUCUCGGCACAGGUCUGAAUUUACCAUUAGAAACGUGUAACUAUAGCUCUGAUUAAUCACCUAUUUAUUAAUCUGCCUAUUUAUUCAGUCAUCCAGGAUCACUCAAUACGCCCCAAUCUUUAAUGCAUCUACUUUAUUAAUUGUAAAACAACACGCUCAUAUUUAAGUGACCUUUACCUACAACUUUACCCAACUAUUUGUAAUAAUCAAACUACAAGCAUUUCAACCACUAAUUUCCUUUCACUUCUCAUCAUGGAGCUCUGUUCUUUACCAAAACUUUGAGCAUGUUUUGAGCUCCACUUCUGAGCUACUUUUUCUAAUGUGAAUUAGUUGUUCUUGUCUUGGCGAUCAUACUUAUCGUAGGAUAUCACACAUAAUCAUUUGUUCUUUUUCUAAUAACUUAUCUCAACAGCACUUGAAAGUAAAUAUUACAACAAGAAGCUUUGAUAAUCUGUAAUGAAAAUUGCAUUUACAGUAUCGUCAUUGAUAUGUAAUCUGAGGAGUCUGGAGUUUACACAACAUGCAGCUUUUUAAAAUUAAACCAAUGAUGUGUUUCUUAACUGGUCAAGGCCACAGUGAACAAAACUUCAAGGUCAUUAAUGGGAGAUAGAAGUUAUCAUAUCUUUACAGGCGGAUUCCUGUUCACACCGGGACCUUCGUAAUCUACAGUGGUUGAUAGUAUGUCUUUGGAUAGAUGACAAACAUGAGAACGUAUCAUGCUCAUGUGUUUAUUAUGAAGUGUACAAGUUGACAUAUUCAAGUGCAACAGUUUAUUGUGAAAAAAUCAAAACAUUUAUUUAUGUUUUCAUAUCAUUAUUGAAAUGUAUAAGACAACCAACAAAAUAUUAAAAUCACGUGCCUCAUAAAACAAUACAGUACUUCAAAUAAUGACAAUGACAAUACAAUUAAAUAGCACUAGAAUAUGCUGUAACAUAAAACAACGUCAAUAAUAAAACACCAAAUAUAAAUUUAGGUACAUAAAUAAUUUAGGUACUUAAUAAAUAAAAACUAUGCAUGAACAGAUCUACUGCUUGAUCAACAAUGCAAAAAUAAAACAGUGGCACAGUAACAUUUUGAUUGAGUUAACCAGUGAAAAACAAUAAUUAUGCAGCUGUGAAACAAUGUUCCUUUGACAACACAAUCAGCAUGUAACAUCUUUUUUUUGUGUGGCUUUACGCUCUCACAAAGGCUUCACUUAAAAAAGGCACAGUUCCUCAGGCACAGUGACAUUUACUGACAAUCAAGUCGUCGAAAGGAGUCAGCGUCAACUUUCCCCUACUGUCAUAGUGCAUUAGGACCAUUGGCUCGUAGGCCGCUGGCACGCAGCAGGGGCGAGGUGACCCUCCUCUGGAAAUCUGAUGCAGCCGAGACUUCACCUGCGUGUGCAUGCUUGCAGGCUUGUAGUUGUGGGGGCAGGUGCCUUCGCAGAAAUGCAUUGUGUACUCAUUUGGGGCCACGAUCCAGUCAGUCCAGCCAAUGUCUUUGAAGGACACAGUGAUAGACUUGCGGCAACACCAUCCUUGUUCACUGCAGACGUCUUCCUUGUUCGAGCGAGGAAGCCUUGUCUUCCGGGCCGGUUUGGGCGGUACGUGGCCUAAUUCCAGAGAAAUGGUUGGGUAUGCCUGGAGGGCAUUUUUCAUACCCACAGCUAUUCCCACAUCCACAACUAGUGCCUCUCCAAUAUCAGUCCUCAACCACCUCUCCACCUCAGGGCUGAUGUCCAGCAUCAAAUUGUGAGUGCUUGACACAUUGGCACGUAUUGGAGAGUUUAUGUGUGUCCAUGCAGAGUUCAUCAGUGUCAUCCGAUUGACUUUAACUUGAAUUGCUUGUCUCGUCUCAGGCUGGACUGAAGUGGGUUUAUCUAAAAUCUGCCUAGAAAUCUUCAGCUCAGCCCGAGUUAGUGUCAGUUCAGUUUGGAUAUUGGUUUUUUUGUGGAAAACAGCUCUGUACCACUGCAUGCGUUGACCUGAAUGUGGGUUUGGAUGUCCUCCUCUCCCAACCGCUUUUAUUGGCUCCACUAAAAAACAAAUAAGCAUAAAGAAAGAAAACCUUCAUUAGAACCAAAGUUGGCAACAUCCUGUGAUGAUUUGACAUUUGGGGAACAUCAUGAUGUGGAACAGCUGAGAGUGGAUCAUACACUUUUAUUUUGAAUUCCAAUGCUCUCUUGAAAAAUAUGUGCUCAAAGUGUAACAUUAUGUACAAGGUGUGCCUAUCUUGCUCAUGGUUUCUAAAAGCAGGAAUGUGUCUCUACAGGACUCUUUAAUUAUAUUUCCAGCCAUUCACAUAUGUUUAAACUAUGCACAGGUAGCUUUCAGGAAGUCAGAUCUUUACCUGGAGCAUGAACUAUUAUAAUUAUAGUUCAUAACGAUUUUUCACAACCACACUGGUACAACACCUUUUGUCUGCAUCUACAGAGGGAGGUUUCUUGAACAAGUCAUGUAACGUUCUUUCCUUCUCCCACUCUGACUUUCCAAAUUGGCUUUUCACGUCAAUGGCAAUGACUAAAAUAGGCCUAAGUGUCUUCCUGAUGUCUGAUGUCCAACACAUAUAUAUCUCACCUGUAGCUGGAAAGAGCACAGUAGACAUGGUUGAUUGCCAGGUUUCCUUCAUCAGCUGGCUGGAAUUUCCUCUCAUCUCUCUCACUUUUUCCCUGUAGAGCUGAUACAUCCUUCUCUGCUCUUCAACCGAGGCCUUUCGGGUUGGCCUGGGCUCCCUGUCCAUGCCCAACGAGCCGAGGAUCCCGGUCUUCACCGCCUCCAGAAGCAGCACCCUGUCGCUGUGCGUCCUGUCUACAUCAGGUGUGCCUUCGUGGGCCACGUGAGGCCGGCUCUCCCCUGAGCUUGAGAGGGAGACGAGGAGCAGCAGCAUGCAGGAGAUGAGUUGGUGGAGUGUGCGUGAUCUGUGCAUAGUGAGCCCAACAGGUCGAGGUUAGCCGACCCACCCAACCUCUUCCUCCCCUCAUCUUCAUGGCUGGAGUGGCCCCCUUUUCGGGGCCGGUCGUGCAGCUCGCCCCGGGGAGGUGGGGGUGGUGGAGCAGGAGCAGCAGCAGCGAGGAGGACUCAUGCUCCUGGGGAGAGGACGGAGCGCAGCAUGGGCUAACUGAUCGGAGAUCCGCGUUGGGGUUUUAUCGUCUUCAAUGAUGGAUGAGCCGAAUAUCCUGAGACGUCGCGGUCUACAGGUAUGGAGUGUCAUGUCAUGUCAGGAGGAUAUGGCCGUUUCCAGGCAAACGCGAGGAUAUAUGAUGGUGAUGAUGUUGUUGGUGAUGAUGAUGAUGAUGAGCCAUUGGCGACGAGGCGGGGGAUUCCUCCAAGAAUUACUUUGGGUGGAGCGGUUGAAUAACCAUUAAAAUCAUUGACAUGUAUUAUUUGUUCUUCUAUCUGUAGCUAAUGAUAAUUUCCCCUCAUGUCUUGUGUCCAUUCUUUACAACAAGCGGUGGCCCCAUCAUGAAUUGUGGCACAUAAUUGGUGCACAUAAUGCAAUUAGUUGAUGUGGGUCUUGUGUUUUUAUUUUGGCGCUGUCCAUUGGUUCUUUCAUGAAGCUGGUUGCCUUGGUGAUAGGUGCUUAACAACCAAGGGUGCCUGUAUGAUUGGCAAAAACAUACCUUCUCCUGGUGCUUUUUUGUUUAUUAAUCAGGAAUGUCCAGAAUAGUAAUAAUUCACAUUUUCUCUCCUGCUAGUUAAUUCAUGUGUAUAUUUGUUUUGUGCACGCUGCAUUGUUUCUAGCCAUGUUAUAUUAUGGAGGAGGGAUGCAGAGUUUGUGAUGAAAGACUCACUGGUCCAAACUGGGUGUUCCCAUUGAGUUGUUUGUUUCUUUUCUGCCAUACAUUUAUCUGCAAUUUAAAUGUAAGUGCAGCCCUGUCAUUAUACUAACAAUGAUAAUGAUGGUUAUGGU